UACGUAGGGUGCAAGCGUUGUCCGGAAUUAUUGGGCGUAAAGGGCGCGUAGGCGGCCUGGCAAGUGGAAGGUGAAAUCCCUCGGCUUAACCGAGGAACUGCCCUCCAAACUGCUUGGCUUGAGACCGGGAGAGGUGAGUGGAAUUCCCAGUGUAGCGGUGAAAUGCGUAGAUAUUGGGAGGAACACCAGUGGCGAAGGCGGCUCACUGGACCGGUACUGACGCUGAGGCGCGAAAGCGUGGGGAGCGAACAGG
rnacentral:rRNA from 1 species